rnacentral:rRNA from 1 species
AGCAGCCGCGGUAAUUCCAGCUCCAAUAGCGUAUAUUAAAGUUGUUGCAGUUAAAAAGCUCGUAGUUGAAUUUCGGGAUUUGUCAGUUGGUCGGGCUUAACUGUCCGUAUUGACUUGAUGGAUUCUUACCUUCUGAAUAACCAGCAUGCUAUUAAGUUAGUGCGUUGGGGAAGCAGAUCUAUUACCUUGAAAAAAUUAGAGUGCUUAAAGCGAGCUAGUGCUUGAAUAGAUUAGCAUGGAAUAAUAAAAUAGGACGGCAUGGUUCUAUUUUGUUGGUUUCUAGGAUCACCGUAAUGAUUAAUAGGGAUAGUUGGGGGCAUUAGUAUUCAAUUGUCAGAGGUGAAAUUCUUGGAUUUAUUGAAGACUAACUUCUGCGAAAGUAUUUGCCAAGGAUGUUUUCAUUAAUCAAGAACGAAAGUUAGGGGAUCGAAGACGAUCAGAUACCGUCGUAAGUCUUAACCAUAAACCUAUGCCGACUAGGAAUCGGACGAUGUUAAUUUUAUAAUGACUCGUUCGGCUA